UACGAAGGGGGCUAGCGUUGCUCGGAAUGACUGGGCGUAAAGGGCGCGUAGGCGGAUGGCACAGUCAGAUGUGAAAUUCCCGGGCUUAACCUGGGGGGCUGCAUUUGAUACGUGUUGUCUUGAGUUCGGAAGAGGGCCGUGGAAUUCCCAGUGUAGAGGUGAAAUUCGUAGAUAUUGGGAAGAACACCGGUGGCGAAGGCGGCGACCUGGUCCGACACUGACGCUGAGGCGCGAAAGCGUGGGGAGCAAACAGG
rnacentral:rRNA from 1 species